GGAACCCGAAGCCCAGUGUGCUGGCUGGACACACAUGGCCCAGGUGGGGGUUGGCUGGUGAGCUCAGCAGGUUCCUCCUCCCCAGGCCCGGGAUGCCUGCUCCGUGGGUGUGUCCGGUCCAACUGGAAAAACCAGGCCUGGGAGACCAGGGCCUGGCGACUGCAGCAGGCCACAAGAAGAGGACAAGGCCUUGCAGGUGCAGUGGAAGGGAAGAAGCUGAUGCCAGCCAUCCCCAGCUCUUCCUCCUAAGCUCUUCCCCGUUGUUGCUCUGGGUGUCUUUCAUUUGCUGCUCUUGAAGAAGCGACCAGGCCCCAACUCCUCCCAGUAAACGGGGCUGAGCCAGCAGUGUCCUCGAGGAAGGGAGGCCGGGCUCCUCAUUUUGGCCGUGGGCUCCACCCAUCACCGCUUUGGGACCCGCAGGAGCAGGGACCCCAGGAGCAGGGACCUGACAGCGCACAGCGGCUUCUCCCUCCCUCCCCGCCUUAGACCCCGCUCCGUCCUCCCCCGGCCCCUAGCUGGGUCUCCUUUUCCUUUUGGCACCAUGACGGGUAUUUACUGCUGGUUUCUGCUCGAGCCUGGUGGGGCAGAAGCGGGGGCAGCCUGGCACCCUGCCCUCUCUGCCCUGUGCAGUGAGGGUGGCAGAGCUGGCACAGGCGUGGGGGCGCCCUGCACCCUUCCCCUGGUACUAAGCUAAGCUCCAGGCCAGGGGGUGCUCAGAGGCUUUGGGGUGUCUGCUUGGCAGCAGCCUCUGACCUUGCCUUCUAGGGACACGGGGUACCUGGGCCCCACUGCCACUGUCCCUAGCCAGUCCCAGCAACAGCUCAGGGAGUGGGUCCUAGGCCGGGGGGGCACUGACGGCCAGGUGCCGGGUGGUGAGCUCAGUCCCGGCAGCCUGAGGCCCAGCCCAGUGAGUCUGAUCCGCCACGUUUGAGAGAGGCAGGAAAGCGGGACUUCAGCUUGAGGGCCCCCAGUUUUCCACUGUGAGCCCCAGUGUUUUAAACAUGCCGAGUCUGGAAGGAAGUGUUCCACCUGGCGCAGCGGCUGCAGCCCACCUGAGGUCCCCUGGGGCUGAUCGGGUACCACCCCACCUGGACUUCUGGGCCCCAGUCCUAGAUUUAGGUCAAAGGACAACAGGACACAAAACCAGCUCCAUGUCACAACCCACACAGAGCACGGCAUGUCUCUUGGGUUCAAUUCCUUUCAUGUUCCAAGAUGGGGCUGUGAGUUUGUCAGCAGUUUCUUACAAGUCACCCUGUCUGUGAGACCUGCUGGAAAACGUCAUGUUCAAUCUGCCAUCUCAGAGCAACCACUGUGAGUGGUACCUCUUGCCGUUGUACAGUGCGAAACCUAUUCCGGGUUCCUGACUCUUGUUUUUUUGAGGAACCCCGAUGUUCAAACACUAAUUUUCACUUGGUUGUUUUUCUAGGAGAUCGCAGGUGGUUGCUUUUAAAAUUUUCUUUCUUUUGGCAGCACUGGGAUUGAACCCAGGGCCUGCACACAGAGCAACAUCUCCAGCCCUUUUUAAAAUGUCUUAUUUUUAAGGCAGGGUCCUGCUAAGUCACUAAGUUGCCCAGGCUGGCUUGGAACUUGCAGUCCUCCUGCCUCAGGCUCCCAGGGUGCCGAAGAUGAUUUCUGAAGGACACACAGGCAAAGGAGGAUGUAGCCCUUUUCCCUUUCUUCUCUACAGCAGAAUUCUUUACUGUUUUUACAGCCGACAGUUUGUCCCCAGGAAGAAAAGACUUUUAUGACCUGGAACAGAGCUGCUGCCACCUUCUUUAUGAGUUUUCUCCGGUUGUACUGACAAGUGACUAUCACGGCCGGGUUUCAUAGCCUUGCUCAGUAUCAAGGGCUCCCAGAGAGUUCCAGGUCCCCAGGACGCACCCUGGUUUGGGCCUCAGAACAGCAGGGGCGACCCUGCUGGAAAGCCACGAAUGCAUCGUGAUGGUCCCCUCACUGGACUCUCCUCACCCCCGACUCGGUUCCCAGCCCAGGAACUGGGUGGCACCGAAACCUCAGCAGAGGGGGCUUCUAGGGGUGUCCGUGAGGAGCUCUUGAGCUGCCCCCGGCUGUGGCUCCCAACGGUGCCCCCUUGCCUUCUCGGGGGUCUCGGGAAGUAACAGUGUCCCUCACAGAGACAGCCAGCUGUUUUGGAAUGAAAUUACAUCUGGCAGCAAAUACGUUUUAAUUUCCCUUGCUAAAUCCUGAGACAAACAAUGAAAGUUAAACUACUGGCAUGGGGACUAAUUUUAAUCAAUGCCCAAAGCAGAGAGAAGCAGGAGGGGUCUGCCGUGUGACUGAGAUGCAGACGGGCUCCCCUGGGCUCCCAUCAUGAUCAACGGCCUGCCCUGGGCACCUCGGCCACCUGCUCUGUCCCUGGCAGGUGACAGGGGACAGAGGCAGCCCCGAGGGUAAAUCCAUCCCAGCACCCGGGGAAGGAAGCCAGCACCCUCUGGGAUCUGCAAAGAUGCCCCUGCCCGGAGGCCAGACUGACCCUUGGGAUGGGCCUUGAGGCCCAUCCCAAGGCCCUGAUCCCAGAGCAGAGACAACAGCAGUAUGUGACCUUCACAUGAGAUCUCACACACCUUCUGCAGAACAGACCGCAGCAAAGGGGGGUUCGGGGGUGUGAAGACCCACUGUGUCUCCAGUCACCUGCAGGCUUAGAUUCCAGGGGCCCGUGACAGUCAGUUGUGAUGGUUGAUGUGCUUGGCUUGAUUGGCGUCUGGAUGGGUCAUGGGGUAUGCCCUUGAGGACUGUGUCUGGUCCCUUGCCCCUUCCUCUCUGGUGCUCUUCCCUUAUCUCUACUUCCUGGUCACCAUGAACUGAGCAGCUUUCCUCCACCACACCCUUCUGCCAGGAUGUUUCUGUCUGGGAACCAGCGACCAUGGACUGAAUCUCCUGAAACCAUGAGCCAAAUGAAUCACCUCCUUCUUCACACCGUGGGUGUCCCAUGUCUUGUCCCAGCCCUGACCCUGGGACAGAGAAGCCACCACUCAGCAUGCUCUGGCUCCCACGGGGGCCUCUCCUUGGCUCCUCUUACCCUUCCUGGCUUGGAGACUUUCCAGCCCAUGGCAGAUCCCGAAGGAGAAGAUGAUGACAUAGAUUCUGCCUGGCUGGGCGCUGUCAGGCUCCUGAGCCUUCUCACUGGACCAUCUGUGCUCCUCCCUAUAAAACUCAGUUUCAGCAAGAAGCCUAUUAGGAGGAUGCAGCCAGAAUCCCCCUUGCCCGGUGUCUCCUCUGAGUGACUUUCCGUCCACGGAGCCCACUCUGCUCUGUCAUCACCAUUCUCCCCAGCUGUGUAUUUGGAGUUCAGCCCAACCUCCCCUCCCACCACGAAGCCACACUGCCUGGUCUGUACCCCUAACUUUUUUUUUUUCCAAUACUGGGGAUUGAACCCAGGGUCUUUGCAUGGAGCUCCAUCCCCAGCCCUUAUAAUAUUUUACAAAUUUUGACACAGACCCUCUCUCAGCAGCUGGGUUUCCCAGGCUGGGCUCAAACUUGCAAUCCUCCUGUCUCAGCUUCCCUGAGAGCUGGGGUUACAGGUGUGUGCUUCUGAGCCUGCUACCUACCCUGGACUUGAUGGUACAACAGGUGCCAUGGUCCUGCCCUUCUGGAAAGCACGAAGACUGGAAGCAUUCGUGGCAGUGACUGCGCCUUAUGGGCCUACACCAAGCCAGCUUCCAUGCCUCACGGCCCUGACCUAGGUAGCUGAUCGUCCACAAUGCCCAGGAUGCGGCCCUCCAGAAGCUGUCCUCACGGAAGCCUUCAUGGUCUGAGCUAGCGGCCAACAGUCCACAGGGUGCAGAGAUCCGUGCCACACCAGGGAGCCUGCAGUGUUGUGGGACAUGCUGGCACUGGACAUCGUGAUGGCACUGUUAGUCCUGAAGGAGGAAGACUAGUGUCCCCUGAACAUGGCCAAGGAGAACAGACUCUACUGCAGCCUGGAAGGGGCUGGUGCUGGGGGGCUUGGUCAUGGCAGUCAGAGCUGAAGCCCACCAUCCCAUCCAUCUGCCUCUAGACGGUGUUUAGGAGGAAUGGGCCAGGUCACCUGAGCAGGAAGUCAGCGGCUUUGGUGCCCGGAUCUUGUGGCAGUGGGCACCAUUUUGGUUAUGCUUUGCCAUACCCAUGUGGGGCUGGGCCAGCGUGGGCCAGAAACUGAGGCUAUCAGAGGAGGCAAGUCCUGGGGGCUAUUAGCCGUGGCAACACUAGUGCCAGUUCUGACGUUUUGUGGGUGCUGGGCACUCUUCUGACCUAUAUGCCUGACCUGACAUCAUGCUCACUGCCUCCCUAUGAGGCUUUACAAGUAGAAAACUGUGCUGAGGUGUGUGGCUUGGUGGUAGAGCCCUUGCCUAGCAUGGGUGAGGCCUUGGGUUCGAUCUCCAGCACUGGAAAAAAGGGAAACUGAGGCAUAGAGAGGUUGAGCACCUUCUGUCCUCACCAGGUGCCUUGGGAAGUGGGACGUUUCACUAGAAUGAGACGGGCAAUUCUUAGAGAACAAAGGGAGAGUCAGGCUCCUCUGUCCCUGCCCAGGGCAGUCUCAGAUGAAGACAGCUGGAGUUCAGAGUACAAGGAGAACAACCCCAAAUCUUGUGAGGAGCUACAGGACAGCUGGUCUACCCUGGUCUGGCUGGGGGGGGUGGUCCCCAGGGAUGACUCUGACGCUCUGGGAAGUGUCUGUCCUCUCAGGGGACACCAGGGUGAAGGGCCCACUGGGCCUGAGCCUCACCAGCGAGCUUCACCAACCGGAGCUCUGCUGUGGACCCGGAGGCCAUAGGGAGCAAUUCGCAGAUGUAAGGAGACAUUGCCGCAGGCAGCAGAGCCUGCAGCCCCACCCAAAGGCACUCGGGCCCUUGCCUGGAAGCAGGAAGUAGGCCAGAAACUGUGCACAUGGGAGGGAGAGUCCCCAGCCUGCCCCUCCCCAGUACUGAACACAGGAAGUGUCCUGAGGGCAGAGCUAGGGACAAGCAGUGGACCCAUCAGGCCAGCAGUGCUAGGCGACCACAAAUUCUCCCCCAACUUUACAAGUGGAACUCGGAUUGCAAGGCACCUGAGUCCCCUCCAACAUUGGGAACCAGGGUGCUGGGGAUGAUGGGAAUUCUUGCCAGGCUUGGAGCCAGCCUGGAGGAAGAGAAUGACAUGUGGCCAGCAGGGGCAAGGGACAGGGAGUGGACAGGGUUUCCUCCUCCGUCACUGCUGCUCGCCAUGCCACCCCUGCAGCUGCUUCCCUCUGGGUUUGGAGCAGAGGGGCCUGGAGGACUUGGGGUCCCUGGAAGCAGAGGAGCCUCGUGUCAGGGUCUCUUCCCAGGCCCUGUGCCGGCUCCGCCCGUCCCUGCUUUGUGACGCAGCCUGGUGCCAGGCUGUCUCUGAAUGGGAAAUCUGUGUACCUGUCUCACAGGAGGCAGUGUAAACCUGGCGCGGUAUGGGUGCAGAGUUCAACAAAAGGGCAUUGUUAUUUUUACAGCGACCUGGGAGCCUUGGAGACAGCCCUAGGACCUGCCCCAACCACAAGAACAACAACCCAAGAACUGCUUCCCUGUUUGAACUGGGCUCCGCAUUCCCCAAGGAGCCUGCUGGGAACCCGGGGUUGGAUGGAGUCCUUGCCUUCCUUCCUCGCAGUAGUCGCAGACCCAGGGCGUGGCCAUCCUCUGGGGACGUGGCCCAAGGCCCUCAUGUCACUGCGGCUAGGAGCAACUCACUGUCCCCUGCCUUUUCAAGGGCCUCAGUCCCUUCUCUCCUUCUGACUGUGAGCACCGGUAGGAAUUGUGGAGCCAGGUAACAUCAAAACAAAGUGCAGAAUUAACUUCUUCAUCUUUCAAAUUUAAUAUUAAUAUUUAAUUUUGGUUUUUUGAGAGAGAGAGUCUCGCUAUGCAAUCCAGGCUGGCCUUGAACUCACUGUGUAACUCAUGCUGGCUUCGAACUCACAGCGAUCCUCGUGCCCCAGGAUAAUUUUUACUUUGGACAUAAGUUUUUUUUUUUCUUUUUUUGGUUCUGGGGAUUGAACUUGGGUCCUUGCGCUUGCGCAGCAGGUGGGGAAACCACUGAGCUAAAUCCUGGCCCCUGGACAUAAGUUUUAUGUUAGUCGUGUGGAGGUGUUUCGAGCAGACACAGGGCUUUUCUGGACAUUCCCACAGGAGUUUCUAAGCACAUCGAAAAAAUUUCCUCAGGGCACAUGCACGGGAGUGGAAUUUCUGCAUGAACCAUGCAUUUUCUUAACAUCACUGCAUGAUGCUGAAAAGCUCUUCGAGAUGGCCAGGGCUCCCUGUCCCUGGCCCCAGUGGGUCCUGUGUUGGCCAUUCAUAGCAUUUUAUUAUGACAAAAAUAAAUAUAACAUAAAACUUAA
rnacentral:lncRNA from 1 species